rnacentral:rRNA from 1 species
UUAAGCGACUAAGCGUACACGGUGGAUGCCCUGGCAGUCAGAGGCGAUGAAGGACGUGCUAAUCUGCGAUAAGCGUCGGUAAGGUGAUAUGAACCGUUAUAACCGGCGAUUUCCGAAUGGGGAAACCCAGUGUGAUUCGUCACACUAUCAUUAACUGAAUCCAUAGGUUAAUGAGGCGAACCGGGGGAACUGAAACAUCUAAGUACCCCGAGGAAAAGAAAUCAACCGAGAUUCCCCCAGUAGCGGCGAGCGAACGGGGAGCAGCCCAGAGCCUGAAUCAGUGUGUGUGUUAGUGGAAGCGUCUGGAAAGGCGUGCGAUACAGGGUGACAGCCCCGUACACAAAAAUGCACAUAUUGUGAGCUCGAUGAGUAGGGCGGGACACGUGGUAUCCUGUCUGAAUAUGGGGGGACCAUCCUCCAAGGCUAAAUACUCCUGACUGACCGAUAGUGAACCAGUACCGUGAGGGAAAGGCGAAAAGAACCCCGGCGAGGGGAGUGAAAAAGAACCUGAAACCGUGUACGUACAAGCAGUGGGAGCACGCUUAGGCGUGUGACUGCGUACCUUUUGUAUAAUGGGUCAGCGACUUAUAUUCUGUAGCAAGGUUAACCGAAUAGGGGAGCCGAAGGGAAACCGAGUCUUAACUGGGCGUUAAGUUGCAGGGUAUAGACCCGAAACCCGGUGAUCUAGCCAUGGGCAGGUUGAAGGUUGGGUAACACUAACUGGAGGACCGAACCGACUAAUGUUGAAAAAUUAGCGGAUGACUUGUGGCUGGGGGUGAAAGGCCAAUCAAACCGGGAGAUAGCUGGUUCUCCCCGAAAGCUAUUUAGGUAGCGCCUCGUGAAUUCAUCUCCGGGGGUAGAGCACUGUUUCGGCAAGGGGGUCAUCCCGACUUACCAACCCGAUGCAAACUGCGAAUACCGGAGAAUGUUAUCACGGGAGACACACGGCGGGUGCUAACGUCCGUCGUGAAGAGGGAAACAACCCAGACCGCCAGCUAAGGUCCCAAAGUCAUGGUUAAGUGGGAAACGAUGUGGGAAGGCCCAGACAGCCAGGAUGUUGGCUUAGAAGCAGCCAUCAUUUAAAGAAAGCGUAAUAGCUCACUGGUCGAGUCGGCCUGCGCGGAAGAUGUAACGGGGCUAAACCAUGCACCGAAGCUGCGGCAGCGACGCUUAUGCGUUGUUGGGUAGGGGAGCGUUCUGUAAGCCUGCGAAGGUGUGCUGUGAGGCAUGCUGGAGGUAUCAGAAGUGCGAAUGCUGACAUAAGUAACGAUAAAGCGGGUGAAAAGCCCGCUCGCCGGAAGACCAAGGGUUCCUGUCCAACGUUAAUCGGGGCAGGGUGAGUCGACCCCUAAGGCGAGGCCGAAAGGCGUAGUCGAUGGGAAACAGGUUAAUAUUCCUGUACUUGGUGUUACUGCGAAGGGGGGACGGAGAAGGCUAUGUUGGCCGGGCGACGGUUGUCCCGGUUUAAGCGUGUAGGCUGGUUUUCCAGGCAAAUCCGGAAAACUAAGGCUGAGGCGUGAUGACGAGGCACUACGGUGCUGAAGCAACAAAUGCCCUGCUUCCAGGAAAAGCCUCUAAGCAUCAGGUAACAUCAAAUCGUACCCCAAACCGACACAGGUGGUCAGGUAGAGAAUACCAAGGCGCUUGAGAGAACUCGGGUGAAGGAACUAGGCAAAAUGGUGCCGUAACUUCGGGAGAAGGCACGCUGAUAUGUAGGUGAAGUCCCUCGCGGAUGGAGCUGAAAUCAGUCGAAGAUACCAGCUGGCUGCAACUGUUUAUUAAAAACACAGCACUGUGCAAACACGAAAGUGGACGUAUACGGUGUGACGCCUGCCCGGUGCCGGAAGGUUAAUUGAUGGGGUUAGCGCAAGCGAAGCUCUUGAUCGAAGCCCCGGUAAACGGCGGCCGUAACUAUAACGGUCCUAAGGUAGCGAAAUUCCUUGUCGGGUAAGUUCCGACCUGCACGAAUGGCGUAAUGAUGGCCAGGCUGUCUCCACCCGAGACUCAGUGAAAUUGAACUCGCUGUGAAGAUGCAGUGUACCCGCGGCAAGACGGAAAGACCCCGUGAACCUUUACUAUAGCUUGACACUGAACAUUGAGCCUUGAUGUGUAGGAUAGGUGGGAGGCUUUGAAGUGUGGACGCCAGUCUGCAUGGAGCCGACCUUGAAAUACCACCCUUUAAUGUUUGAUGUUCUAACGUUGACCCGUAAUCCGGGUUGCGGACAGUGUCUGGUGGGUAGUUUGACUGGGGCGGUCUCCUCCUAAAGAGUAACGGAGGAGCACGAAGGUUGGCUAAUCCUGGUCGGACAUCAGGAGGUUAGUGCAAUGGCAUAAGCCAGCUUGACUGCGAGCGUGACGGCGCGAGCAGGUGCGAAAGCAGGUCAUAGUGAUCCGGUGGUUCUGAAUGGAAGGGCCAUCGCUCAACGGAUAAAAGGUACUCCGGGGAUAACAGGCUGAUACCGCCCAAGAGUUCAUAUCGACGGCGGUGUUUGGCACCUCGAUGUCGGCUCAUCACAUCCUGGGGCUGAAGUAGGUCCCAAGGGUAUGGCUGUUCGCCAUUUAAAGUGGUACGCGAGCUGGGUUUAGAACGUCGUGAGACAGUUCGGUCCCUAUCUGCCGUGGGCGCUGGAGAACUGAGGGGGGCUGCUCCUAGUACGAGAGGACCGGAGUGGACGCAUCACUGGUGUUCGGGUUGUCAUGCCAAUGGCACUGCCCGGUAGCUAAAUGCGGAAGAGAUAAGUGCUGAAAGCAUCUAAGCACGAAACUUGCCCCGAGAUGAGUUCUCCCUGACUCCUUGAGAGUCCUGAAGGAACGUUGAAGACGACGACGUUGAUAGGCCGGGUGUGUAAGCGCAGCGAUGCGUUGAGCUAACCGGUACUAAUGAACCGUGAGGCUUAACCU